rnacentral:rRNA from 1 species
CCCUUAGAUGUCCUGGGCCGCACGCGCGUUACACUGAUGCAUUCAACGAGCUUAUAACCUUGGCCGAGAGGCCUGGGCAAUCUUGUUAACGUGCAUCGUGAUAGGGAUAGAUUAUUGAAAUUAUUAAUCUUGAACGAGGAAUUCCAGGUAAACGCAGAUCAUCAAUCUGCAUUGAUUACGUCCCUGCCCUUUGUACACACCGCCCGUCGCACCUACCGAUUGGAUGGUCCGGUGAAGCCUCGGGAUUGUGGUUCUUGCCGCUUUAUUGUGGCGUGACCGCGAGAACUUGUCUAAACCUUAUCAUCUAGAGGAAGGUGAAGUCGUAACA